rnacentral:piRNA from 1 species
UUUUACUGGAUGCAUGUAAUAACAAGUUA